GAAUUGGUGCUGCAAGCGGCAGCGUUCUGGUGUUCUCUAUUUCUAUAUAAAGAAGAUACAUGCAGCUCUACAUGGUUACUAAAUCACGGCACGCUCGUGAUCGGCUCCUGCCAUCCCAGCACCCUGGGCCGUGCCGUGAAGGACGCGCGACAGCGCGGCGUACGCGAGCAAAAGACAGGCGAUCGCGCACUAAUCUACUUCCUAGAAAAUAGAAGAUGCUAUCCUGGGCUUACUAUAACAAUCUCCUCCUAAGCCCUGGAGUACAAUUACACAAGAUUUUUCAUGCCGAUUCCACCCCGAAGCUCCUGGAACCGGCUACGACCGAGCGCCUUCGUGAGGAUGUCGCCCAGCUGUAGUUCAGUGCCGACGAACUCGACGUCGAUCAGCUUCCUGUCGCAGCAUUCCCGGAUGAAGUGGAACUUCACGUCUAUAUGCUUACUCCGGUCAUGAUGCACAGGGUUUUUCAUCAAAGCGAUGGCGGACUUGUUGUCCACCUUGAGCCUAGGUGCGAGGGUCGCUCCUCCGACGAGCUCAGCCAGUAACCGCGCCAGCCAGGCUGCCUCGCACGCAGCCGCAGCGGCUGCGAUGUACUCUGCUUCGCAAGAAGACAGAGCAACCACCUUCUGUUUCGCCGAUUGCCAGGCAACCGGCCCUCCCGCUAGGAAGAAGAUGAGGCCGCUGGUGCUCUUCCGGUCAUUGACAUCACCGGCUAAGUCGCUGUCGGAGUAGCCCAGCAGCUUUGGAGUGCCUCCGUCCUUCUUUCCCGGGUGGUAGUGCAAGCCCCAGUGCAGCGUCCCCGCCACAUAACGAAGGACUCGCUUGACUGCAGCGAGGUGCUCUUGACGUGGUGCCUCCAUGAACCGGCUAAGGUACCCCACCGGAUACGCCAAGUCCGGCCUAGAGUUGCACAGGUACCUGAGGCUGCCGAUAAGACUGCGGUACUCCGUGGCAUCCACGCUCGGCGUCGUCCCUUCUUUGAGCAAUUUCAACUUCGGCUCCAUGGGUGUGGCGCUGGUAUUGCAGCCUCCCAGUCCCGCCUUCUCAAGGAUCUUGCCGGCGUAGGCAGACUGACGAAGCGUGAUCCCGGCUGCUCCCUGUGUCACCUCCAGGCCGAGGUAAUAUGAGAGAAGCCCGAGAUCACUCAUGCGGAAGGUGCUCAUCAUCUGGGCCUUGAACUUGUUCACAGCCCCUGCGUCGCCACCGGUGAUGAUUAAAUCAUCAACGUAGACGCCCACGAUCAGGCGCCCUGCGCCCUUCCCGCGAGUGUACAUCCCGUGCUCGUCGAUGCAGCGAGUGAAGCCGAGCCUGAUCAGCGAAGCAUCAAGCUUCUGAUUCCAGGCUCGUGGAGCCUGGCGGAGCCCGUACAGCGCCUUGUGAAGGCGAAGCACCUUGUGCUUGUUCUUGCCAUCGAUGAAGCCGGGGGGCUGUUGGACAUAGACCUCCUCCUGGAGCUCCCCGUUCAGGAACGCCGAUUUGACGUCCAUGUGGUGGACGCCCCAGCCGUAGUGCGCUGCAAUGGCGAGGAGCAGGCGCACUGAUUCCUGCCGCGCGACGGGGGCGAAGGCCUCUUCAUAGUCGAUGCCGGGCCGUUGCACGUACCCCUUCGCGACGAGACGAGCCUUGUACUUGACAAUGGCCCCAUUCUCGUCCCGCUUCACCUUAUACACCCAUUUGAGGCCGAUGGCGUGGUGGCCGCGCGGGAGCUCGGCAAGCACCCAAGUGUCGUUGUCGCGGAUCGACUUGAGCUCCUCCUCCAUUGCGGCGUUCCAGUUCGGAUCACCAUCGGCGUCCUUGAAGGACUUGGGUUCCUCCACACUGACAUUGUGCAGCUCAGCAUCCUCAAUGAUGCGUUGAGCCAGUCCGGGCACAGUAUUCGUGCCAAGGACGUUCUCAAGCGUUCUGUACCGGUGCUCCAGAUCCUUGUCGUCAUCUGCGUCGAGGUUGUGGUCAGUGGUGAGCGGUGUCACAAACUCGACCUGCACCCCCGUGGGGAUGCUGGGAGUUGCUGGUGACGAUGACACCGGCUGUGCCUCCGGCGUGGGCGGAGAUCCUGGAGUAGGCGGAGGUGAAGCAGCUGUCCUCGCGGUUGAUGCCGCUGAGGGCUCCCGCCUGAGCUCGUACUCAUACUCGACGGUGAACGGUUCCUGGUCGCCACUUGAUGACGCCUCGGUCCACUCCCAGCGCGCGCCUUCAUCGAAGACGGCGUCGCGUGAGACGUGGACACGAUCAGUGGUGGGGUCGAGGAAGCGGUACGCCUUCGAUCCACUCUCGUACCCGAUGAAGACAACCUUCUGGCCCCGGUCAUCGAGCUUGCUGGGAUGUGGACGGAGGUGCUUGAUGUAGGCGAUGCACCCGAACACUUUGAGGAAGUGCACGGGUGGCUUCUUGCCGUACCACGCCUGGUACGGGGUCAGGCCAUCGAGCGCGCUCGUCGGUGCUCGGUUGAGCAGGAACACGGCGGUGUGAACCGCCUCCCCCCAGAAGCGGCCAGGCAUGCCGCGGGCGCGCAGGAUGCUCCUGGCCGUGCCCACGAUCAUUUGGUUCCGGCGCUCGACGACGCCGUUUUGUUGAGGUGAGUACGGUGCCGAGUGAUGUCGCUGGAUGCCUUCACCUGCACAGUAUUCACCAAAUUCCACUGAGGUGAACUCACCACCAUUAUCGGUGCGAAGCACCUUCAGCUUCUUUCCACAUUCACGCUCGACGCGUGCCUGGAAAGCGAUGAUCGCCGCCGGUGCGUCUGCCUUGGAGCGCAGGAGGGUGAGCCACAUGAAGCGACUCAUGUCAUCCACCAGCAGCAGGAAGUAGAGGUUGCCAGCUGGAGUUGGUGGCGAGAUGGGGCCGCACAAGUCUCCAUGUACGAGCUCAAGCUCCUCCUGAGCUCGGUACUUGGCUGCCCGGGGGAACGGCGUGCGCUUCUGCUUCGCCAGAAUGCAGUCCUCGCAGAUUUGAUCCACGUGAUCAAUCACGGGCAGCCCACGCACCAUGUCGCCGCGCCCAAGCUUGCGGAGCGCCUGGAAAUUGAGGUGGCCGUAGCGCUCGUGCCAGCGCCAUGCCACAUCUCCGACACGCGCAGUGAGACACACCGGCGCAGCAAUCUUCAUGUCGAGGAGGUAAAGCCGGCUUGGGGACCGGUGUACCUUCGCCAGCAGUUGACGCUGCUGGUCGUAGAGGCGCAGUACGCCCCCCUCGAUGUUGACCUUGAAGCCGUCCUCGUCCAUUUGGCCGAGGCUAAUGAUGCUGGUGGUGAGGCGAGGAAUGUAGUAGACGCCGUCUAGCAGACGAUGCUCGCCGGUCUUGCAGACGAACAACACCGUCCCCUUGCCUUGGAUCUCAACCACCGAGCCGUCCCCGAACCUGACGGUCCCCGUGACGCCUGCAUCCAGCUCGGCGAAAAUGGAGCGUGUACCCGUCAUAUGGUUCGUCGCCCCGGUAUCCAACACCCAGCGACGAGAGACCACACUCUCCUCCUCUUGGCUGAGGUGGAGGUGCACCUUUGGUUCAUCGAGGUGGAGCGGCGACCUAACAUGAGAACACGUUAUGGCCGGCGUUUUUACCUCAAUGUCAGCGGCGAUGUACAUGAGCGCGUGCUCAUCUUCCUCAGCCUGCGCGACGUGCGCCGCGCCUUUCUUCUUCCCGCGACAGUCUUUGGCCCAGUGGCCCUUCUUGCCGCAGUUAUUGCAGAGGGUGCCAGGCAGUGGCUUCCCACCACCGGCGUUCCCGUUCCUCGCGUUCUGGCCGUCAUGGCCAUCACGUGGUGUGCACCCUGCGCCGCCACGACCGCGUCCGCGCCCUUGGCGCUUGCCGCGGCUGCUGGAGCUCAUGCCGCCACCGGAGCUCUCCUGAUCACGGCGUGCCUUGCGAUGAGCCUCCCAGUCUUCCUCGCAGAGCAUCAGGCGCCCCAUAGCAUCCGUGAUCUCCUUUGGCUUGGCCCGUUCCUCGAACACGCGCAGCCGCCCGAUGACCUCCUCGAUCGACACUCUGUUCAGAUCGAGGAACAUCUCGAGGGAGACCGCGGCCUGGGACAGCCGAUCUGGGACCACCUGCAACAAUUUCUUCACUACCUCGGCGUCCGUGAUGUUGUCACCGAGGGUGCGUAGGUUGGUGGCGAGUGUCGUGAUGCGGAUCCCGAACUCGGUGACGCCCUCGCCCUCCUUGAAGGUGAGGAUGCCGAAUUCGCGGCGAAGCUGCUGCGCGCUGGCGUCGCGCGCGCGAUCGUCCCCGAUCCGCAACACCUUGACCGCGUCCCAUGCCUCCUUCACGGUCCGCUUCCGGGCGAGGGUGCUCCACAUCUCGGAUGGAACCGAGCGCAGAAGGCCGGCCAUCGCCUGGCGAUCGUCGUGGUAUUCGUCUUCGUCGGGGUCGUCGUUGAUGCCGAGAUCGACGGCGUCCCAGACGCGGAGGGUCUGGAAAUUGACUUCCAUGACCAGCGCCCAUUCUGGAUAAUUCGUCCGGGUCAGCAUCGGCCACGCGACGUUCGCGGACGGCCGCUCGAUGAUGCGCUCGACGACGCGCGAACCAUCCCGGUUGCGCGAUCGGCGGCCUUGGGAGCGGCCACGGCGACGUGGCGGCGAAUGCGACUGCUGGACCUUCUUCUCGCCGGAGCCAUCACCCGUCUCCCUCUUGACCGGAGACUUCGACGACAUGGCGACGGCGAGAAUCGGCUCUGAUGCCAAAUGACAGAACUCCGAAUAUACGUACACGAACACGAAGUGGCCAAUGAGAAUUGGUGCUGCAAGCGGCAGCGUUCUGGUGUUCUCUAUUUCUAUAUAAAGAAGAUACAUGCAGCUCUACAUGGUUACUAAAUCACGGCACGCUCGUGAUCGGCUCCUGCCAGCCGUCGACGACGGGAACAAUACCCUGCUCGACUUCCGCGCCUUCCUGCGGUCCGCCUUCUCGCUGCUGCCGGUGCCGGCGCCCAUGGUGGCGGCGAAGCCGAGGCUGAUGCUGGUGGACCGGCACAAGACGCGCAGGUUCGUGAACACGCCGGAGAUCUGGUGACCGUGGAGCCGCGGCACAGCAGCGGCGAGGGCGCCGCCGCGGAGGAGCUCUCGGCGCUGGCCCGCCUCGCGGACUCGUGCGACGUGCUGGUGGGCGCGCACGGCGCGGGGCUGACGCACCUCCUGUUCCUCCGCUCCGGGUCCGUGGUCGUCGAGGUGGUGCCGUACGGCCUCGCCGGGGUGGCGUCCACGUACCGGGACUUCUUCGAGCGGCCGGCGCGGGCGCUGCGGCUCCGGUACGUCGGCUACGACUCUACGAGGUGGCCGCGGAGGAGAGCACGCUGCUGGAGAGGUACGGCGCGGCGCACCCGGUGAUCAGCGACCCCGUGGGCGUGUACCGGCGCGGCGAGGCGGAGGGGAAGCCCUACGCGUUCAGGCACUACUGGAACGAGCAGGACAUCCGGCUCAACGUCACCACCAGGUUCGGCGCUGUCCUGGCGAGGGGCGUCGGCACGUCGUCGCCCAUCGGCGACGGCUCAAGUAGUGCGUGCCGGUCGAGGCCCUGGUAUUCCACAGUGUCCUAUUGUUGUGCCACCGAAAUGCCAAAGCCCUCGAAUAGUCAAAUGCGUUCCUUGUUUGUAGCAUGUUUUAGCACGGCAAUGACUGGAUGGAUCUUACUCCAAGAUUCAAACUAUUAUAAGACCGUCUCCAAUAGUAUAAGUCAGCUGAUAGCUCAUAGUUAAUGUUGGUCUCAUAUACAUGGUAGGCUGGUUAGAUCGUGUUAUGAGGGAGAAUUGCAUUGAAAAGUGAGCGAGACUAGCUUUUCACUUGCUAGUCUCGUACUUAUCGCACUGUUUUAACUAGUAAAAAAUUGAUUGAGCUAGCUCUAAGCUAGACUAUUGGAGAGGCAGCACAGAAGGAAUUCAACACAAUAACGCUUAAUUUUUUAGAGGUGGUAGUGGUAGGCAACUAGGCAUAGGCAACUAGAACAUCAUGUUUAGCCCCUAUAGCUGCUUUGACAUUUGCUGGAAACUUUAGAGGUAAGGAUUUUUUUUUGUGUUCUUUCAAUUUGGCUGUGAUUUGGGAGCGAUAGAUUUGUCAAGAGCACAUUCCCCAAACCACUUUAUCACCUAAGCUCAUUAGAUUUGGAUUUCUAAAAAAACUAAUCAUUUGGUACCCCUCAAAACAUUGUGAGCGUCUAUCGUCUGUACAAUGUCACAAGCGCACACACACUCAACCUUAUGAAUACACGCACGUAACCCUACCCAUAUGAGCACAUCCAAAAGACUGAGCUGGCAGAUACUCAAGAUUGACGAAGUCACCACUGGUACCUCGCUAUUACUUGGCACGUCGCCUACUAUUAAUAAUUGCCAUACGACCCUAUGAAGAUCACAUGCAUGUUGCUCAACAGUGGUUCCUUGUCAAGUGGCCGAGCUGUAUCUUGGCCUACCGCUAUCGGUCUAUCGGUACUUCACUGUAAAGAAAGUUGUGGAAAGCAGACAUCCAACCACUAAUGGAUGUAGUUGCGGACUAAAGUUGCUGACUUGAAAAUCGGGUCUCCUGCUCCUCUGGAGGGCAGCUUACCUUAACGAACACGAAUCUCACCUUGAUCACGGUCUUCACUAUGUCGAUCCUCUUACCAGGGUGGGCUAUCAAGGCGAUCGGCAAGCUUCCUUAGGCAUUUCUGUGGCGGGGCUCAGAAGUUGAGUUGGACGGACAUUGUCUAGUGACAUGGCCACGAGUUUGUAAACCUCCGGAGCUUGGCGGCUUAGGUCAGUUCAACCUCAAGAUUCUAGGUUGGGGCUUGCCAACUCGCUGGGCAUGGCUCAAACAUAUUUUGAUUUUUCUAGAUAUAUGGUAUAUCUAGAUGCAUAGUAUAAAUCACGUACCAAAAAAAUCAAAACGAAUUGUAACUUACAACAUAAGGAGUACAUAACAUAACCGUGGUUUGACUUGCCGGCAACAAAUGAAAAGGAGAUGGUCGCUUUGUUUGACCCUUCACUUAUGUCGUUGUGAAUCGUCAUUACUAUUUUGGAUGGACUGUUGGUUUGAUGGUUGUUCGGUUGCACAAGUGGCACCAAACACUAUGCAAGCUAUUAGAUGGGUUCGGGAUAUAGGGGCUCUCAUGGUGCAAGUACUAGCAGAGCAUUUAAGAUUGUAGGACCAAAUGCAGGAAAUCUAUCCAUCUCACUCCAAACACCGUUGGCCACUUUUGUGCAUAUUGCAAAUUGCCUACUAGCAUAGUACUAUCUCCAUUUCAAAUUCUAAGUUAUUCCAACUUUCUUGAAAAGUCAAACUAUUUUAUGUUUGAUCAAAAUUAUAGAAAGGAUCACAAAAGUGUACGGGGCGUGGACUGGAAGGCUGCAGCGGUCGAGCAGACCGCGGACGAAGGUGUCGACCGUAGAGGACGGUAGGCUCGGGUGGAACGGGAAGAAAAGGUAAGGAUGAGAAUGAAUAACACGGGAGCCGUUUGAUCGCAAUCUAACAGCCAAUAUCAGUGACUGACGGAAAACCAAAAAAUCAAUCGACUGGCAAGGAGACACAUCCAAAAAAAAGUUACUCAUUCUUUUAUCUGUAUGCGAGCAUAAAUUAACUUUGGUUUUGGUUGAAGAAGUUGACCAAUAGAGUCCAUGUACUACAAGUAAGGACUCCAGAUGGGAGGAACCAUUCCCACUGAACUCAAGCUUUUUUUUUCUUAUUGAAUAUGCAAAAGAGUUGUGCAUCUUUGUAUUAAGAAAGGAGUACCGACGUUACAACAAUGCGCAAUGGAAGCAUGUGCCGAGAAAUUAAGGUGCUAUUACAAAACAAAACAACCAGAGGAUCGGAGGGAGGGAAACACAGCUAAUCCUGAGCCAACUUACUCGCUAAAGAGGCAAAACCCAGGUUUUUUUCUCCCGCCAUGAUCCAAAGUUGGCCCUCCAUCUUGAUCUGCAUGAGCAGCUGGCCGAUCUGCAUAUGCUCUCCACGGAAAAUAUGUGCGUUGUGCUACUUCCAAACCCUUCAUGUUUUUUUUCUAAGAUGUGCAUAGCAUGUUUUUCAUUAAGAAGAAGAGAGAGUUACAACGAUGCAAAAGACCCCAAAUCACAGAGUUACAAAUUACAAAAACCACCACUUGCGACCAGCAAUAGAGAUACAACAAUAGAAAAGGAGGCUACAACACCACCACCACACCCAACACGACCUAAGAUGACUCAAACCUGCAAGAGAUAAGGACACCAUGAACACAAGCACAUCACCGAUUGCCUAACAACCCGGAGCUAGCGAAGGUAGAGCGAGAAUGUCAUGAUGAUGCCUCCAAGGGGGAAGCGACGUCGAUGCCGCCAUCGUCCGUCUGUCCAUGGAGGAGCAAACUAAGUCUUCACCUGGCAAAACCAAAUGGAUUUGGUGGUCGCAACAACGCUCCCAGUGAGGUGAGCUACAUUAAGGAACGCAACCAUUGUUGGCACCAACGAAUGUUGGGCAAAGCUUUCGCUCAGGCUCCCAAAACCAACUCCACGCAACAAACCACCAAGGGUUGGAUGAAAGCCAAAUCGAUGGGAUGGCCACGAGCAAUCCACGAUGAUGACUAUGGGGAACAUCCGCAGGCUAGCGACCGCCAUCACGACGACCCAAAGACGACCAAAGCGAUCGCGAUGACCAAAUUAAAAGACAAUCAUGGGGGAGAAGGGUGGAGCUGAUGCCCUCCCUCCUUCCAGCAACACUUGACGGCGACGUUUGGGGACGACUCGUUGAAGCGGCAACCCGAACACCAUGGAGAGGAUGAAGACCCAUCCUCCCAAUCCUACCAGCGAAGAAGAUGGCUGGAGGGGGCAUGGCCCCAUGAGUGACAACCGGGAGCAACCCAAGAGCGAGCGCCACUGCCGUAGGGUGGAAGGAGAGGGGAGCGAGGGAGAUGACCAAGAGGCAGUAGGGAAGAAUGACUACGGGGCCACUGGAGCACCCUUGGGCGAUUUGGUAACCGGCGGCCCGAAGCUGCCCAUGCCACUGGAGGAAGAGCGGGGGUGUGGGGUGCGGUAGCCGAGGGGGAGAGGUAGAGAGGGAAAAAAAAGGAGCGACCUUGGGCCACGCCGAUGCCACUGGAUCGUGGAUCCUGCAUCGGUGAGAGGGAUCUGGUGACCGGCGGGCCAGGAGACCGCCACCACUAGUCGGCAGGCAGUCCUCCAAGCCGCAGGCGUCGGGCGCCGUUCCCUAUCGCCCCACCAUAGGAGCGCUAGGGGACAAGGGUGUCGACGGCAGGGGCGGCCACAAGAGGGCGAGACCGCGGGCCAGGUCGCAGCAAGAGCGUGGCGGCCCCGACCUGCUGGUGCGUGCACGCACGGCGAUGCCAACCGCAACCUGCCCGUCGCAGGCGCCUAUGCUAGGGCGUCCACCGCAGAUGUGCCGGCGAAGGGGCGGAGAUCUGCCACCAAGCACAGAGGAGACGAAUCCCGACCAUGAGAGCGCAGAUCCAAGGCCAGGGCAGGUGGAUCCAGCGGGGAGGGCCUCAGCACUACCUUGGUGGCGGCUAGGGUUAGGGCGAGCGGAGAGCGACCUUGGCGCGAUGGGGUUGAAGGGAGGAGAGGGAGAGGGAAGGGGAUAAGGGAGGGGCGUGCGCAGCUGCCGGCUUCGACGCCACUGCCAGGCGGCCUGGGCGAGCCUCUAGCGGCGCGGGAUAGGAGCCCCCGAGUCGCCCUCGGGAGAGAGCGACACGAGGGCCAAACCCUUCAUGUGACGAGAGCAAAGAGUAGAUCGAAUCCUUUCUUCUCCGAUUGCCACAAGCAUCUCACUUGUCUCUACCAGUCCUCCAUCGCAGGGGUGAACCUAGGAAAUGGUUGGGAGGGAGGCUGAUCCUAGCUUAUGAGGAGCUCAAGUGUUUUUCAUCUUUAGUUUUUGCAUAAUUUUGCUUGGAGCUCUGUUGAUUUUUAGACCAUGGACCCAGGCUGCAGCUCGGGUCCUGGAUCUGCCACUGCUCCAUCGUGUCGUGCUCAUGGUGGGAUGGAAACCGGCGACCCAAAGCAGCAAUGAUCGUUGCCCAAACCGGAAUCCCUCUGCAGUCAAGUUCAUGAACGUAUGUCUGCAGUCACGUUUCAUCGUCCUGCCUUGUGAAUUCGAAAGAGCAAUGCGUGAACAGGUGAUUACUUGUUUCCGGCUCCUGAUCGCAAAUAUCUCGGUUCGUGCACACUUCAUCGCAGACAGCACCAGCAGUGCAUGUGGUCGCACCGACGCCGCCAUGGACGCAUCCCUCGCUGCUUGCGCCGCACCUAUUCGAGUACGUGCUGACCUCCGAGGCUCCUUGGUCGCUCCACCGGCGGCUGAGCUCGGGCAGGCGCCUAGGGUCGCCGCUCCUGAAUGGCUUGAGACUUGACCUAUUAACAAAUCAGCUCUCUUUCCAUAAAGAUUGAUGAUAUGGCUCCACCGGCGGAAGCAUUUACCUGCUCGAGAGGCAUGGCCCGUGCGUGUUCUAUGUGAUGGCGCGAGCUUUGUUAGGAGCACUAGUUCAUUGGGUCACUGUAAUAAUCUUGCAAAUAGUCUAAGACACUUCUUGUAUUUUUUUUAUAAAGACGACACAUCUAGUUAGGACUUAGGACUACCAUGAGAGACAAGCAAGUACCUGAGUCAUUUGUUCUUCCUGUACGACUCCAAUAUUAGCUACAUUAAUGGUGGAUCAGCCGAUCAGGUAAUGGUGUUUUGUGAAACAUUAUCUGCUCAGGAUAUUUGCAACAAGGUCUGAUGGAUGCCACUAUACCACAACCCCUCUAUACCGAUUGCAUUGGCGUCGGUAUAAGCCUAUGUACCGACCCACCAUCGGUCGGUAUAGAGUUAUACCGACUCCUCAUAGCAGUCACUGUAAGUGGUGUACCAACCGAUAUCGCUAUAUCGACAUGCUCCCUGGAGAUGCAUAUACACCGAGUGAUAGUGGGUUACAGGUUUUUACCGGCCAACAGUUUAAAGAUAUAAAUUUCUAUACCGACUAACAAUCCAAUGCUAAUCAUUCAUAUGAACCUAGAAAAUUAUAUAUAUAAUAAUAACCUCACACUAACCGUCCAAUAUCAAUCUUUUGAACAUUACAUAUGAAACAGUUAGCUAGACAGAGCUCAUAGAUUUGAAGCUAACAGACAUCAAACACACAAGUGAACAUAUAUAACUUAGUUUUCAUUGAAGACAACAGCAUUUGUCUUGCCACUAAGCUCAGUCAACCUCAUAUAUUUGGCUUGUCACAGCUUACAGUUCAAGCAAACAGCCACAUUAAAAAAAGAAGAGAGGCAGCCAACCUAGACCAAAUCAGUCUCUACACAGCCAUAAGUUUGGCUUGUCACAACACACAUGUGAUGUUUGGCUACACAAUUACGCAAACUCAUCACAUGACACAACAAAAAUGUCUCAAAUCUGUCCAAAACAAAAUAGCAUCGGCGAGCACUGAUCCGCUUGCCACCGACAAACUUUGUAAACUUUGACAUUCAAAAAUGUUUUGAACAAACCAUUGUUUUCAGUUCUUUCCAAAUACAUCUUUCUUGAACUAUAUUAGAGAGGUACUACUCUGCUUGGAAAAGAAUGUUUAUUUUUAAAGAGGCAACCGACAAGAUUUGCCGCACAUAUAUUGACAGAGAAGGAACAACUUACAAAUCUUUGAAAAAGGAAUAACUUACAACAAGAUAAACAGACAAGACAAGCCACCAUAACAGGGCACGACUAACCGACAAAUCCACUACUGCAAUGACAGCGAAACCACUGCUGCAAUGGCCUGAUUAUCAUGGAUCUGCUCCCUGACAUUUUUAGGGAGUUUCCCUAUACUGCUUGUUACAUAUAAAUACUUGAAGUUUGUUUUACAUGUAGAUACUCGAAGUUUACGUGUACAUUUGAACAUAUCCGUUUGAGCUCCUCCACAAGCGGAUGGCGAGGCAUGGAAGGGGAAGUCAUCAAAUAAAGAGGAAGUCAUGAAAUAAAGCGACAAUGUUUCUGUUCCGGCACACAGCACACUACACUUGCCAUGCACCACAUCACACCCAAGGCGAAACGACCAGACCGAAACAUAACGUGCUAACAAAAGCUCAUCAUCAAUUAGACAAUUAUUACAGAGAAUGAUUGGUUAGCUUUAAAAUCAUGUCGAGUUUUGCCGAUUAAAUGCUAGUAGGUCCAACUACCGGUUCUGGUGGCUGCUCCAUCAAUCAGGAUUGUGUGCGGAGGCUGUAGGAGAUAGAACGUAAAGGCUGUGUCCAUAUUUUCGACUGCAUGGCCGACCAUCCUACUCAUCCUUAUCAUGUCUCAUAGCAAUAUUUUAAGGAACAACGAGGGGCCAGCGGCCCACCUGAACUUCUUCUCAUUGCAACGAAAGGGAGGGACGAACCCAAGUACAGCAAGCAAAUAAGCAUACAAAAGGAAGGCGGAAAGCUAGAGUUAAUUUACAUUUGCCAAGGAGCGGCACCAGGACGAUAAGGCUCCUGAAAGGGAGAUGAGUUUAUCCCAUAACACUCAUCAGUCCUUAUAAAUAUGAUAGCAGGACCUGAAUGUAAGUCGUGCAGAGCCAGAGCCGUGCGUGUUGGCCAAUUGGGAGGUAGAGACGACGCAGAACAAUGGAGGCCGCUGCCGCCAAGCUCGUCAUCAGGGAGAAGAUCACGGGCGCCACCGCGGCCGUGUUCGCGGGCUCCGUCGAGAUCCCCGAGAAGUUCAUCAGGACCACGGAGGUCCAGGAAGCCGGUGCCGUCGUCAGCGAGGACGAGGUGUUCGAGCUACCGGUGGUAGACAUGGCAAAGCUUCUUGAUCCGGAGCUGUCGGCGUCAGAGACGGCAAAGCUUGGCUCCGCGUGCAGAGACUGGGGUUUCUUUCAGGUUAGGACGAUCCUACAUAUACAUGUAUCCAGAAUAUAGAUGAAAUCCUUCCUUUUCUUUCUGCCAGCUAACACACCAUGGGGUAGACGAAGCCGCGAUGCAGCAGAUGAAGGACAGCGCCGCGCAGUUCUUCGGCCUGCCACUGGAGAGCAAGAACUCGGUUGCAGUACGAGAUGGUGGUUUCCAAGGAUUUGGCCACCAUGUGAACGCGUCUUCAGGCGAUAAGAUAGACUGGGCGGAGAACAUGUUCCUCUUCACGGAGCCAGUCCAAGACAGGGACAUGGACUUGUGGCCUGCGAACCCACCCACAUUCAGGUGUGUCAAUUUUCUUUUCCGGUUGUUCUGAUUAGAUUUAAUUCAUGGCAUUGAUCGAUUCUCGUCGACCUGCUCCCUCGAUCCUAGGCAUGCCCUCGACAGCUACUCCGUCGAGAUCAGCAACCUUGCAAGGCGCCUGCUGGGAUUCAUGGCAACUGAUCUUGGAGUCAGUCAAGAGGCGCUCCAAGGGGCUUUCUUCGGCGGCGGCGACGCAGACGACGACACCGGGAGGCAGCCGAAGCAGCAGUGCACGGCCAUGCACUAUUACCCUCCGUGCCGUCACCCGGAGAAGGUGCUGGGCUCACUGCCACACACCGACACCCUGGGCCUGACCGUGCUGAUGCAGGUCGACGACACGCCGGGCCUGCAGAUCAAGAGGGGCGGCCGGUGGAUCCCCCUGCGGCCGCUGCUGGGCGCCGUUGUCGUCAUCGUCGGCGACAUCCUCGACGUCCUCACCAACGGCACCUACGUCAGCGUCGAGCACAGGGUGGUCCCGGACGCCGAGAGAGGCCGGACCAGCGUGGUGAUGUUCCACGAAGCCUCGGUUCAAGGGUUCGUGACGCCGCUCCCGGAGCUCCUCACCGGAGGCGAGGCACGGCCACGCUAUAGAUCCAUCGGAACACUGGAGUACAGAAAGGGCAGUAGCAGAGCACUGGCGCAAGGGAGACGGUUCGUGGACACCCUCAGAAUGUAAAGAACCGCGCAGCAACUUCGAUUGCUGUCCUGAAUCCUGAUCGAGAUGAACGUACGUACCUCCCGUGCCCCUAUAUAUGUGUACCGAAAUAAAGAAUCCUUAUAAUUUGUGCAAUGCAAUAUAUGCAUGAACCCUCAUUUUUAGAUUCCAUUUACCUUCAUACUACCUUCUAAACUUUGACGUUGAUAUAUGUUCAAAACGGUGGAUAUUUGUUGUACUAUGUGAGUUUGCAUUGCUUGACUGAAUUUUUUUUAGAUCCGACACUUUGUGACCGCAUACAACAAAUUUUCAUAAUAUUCUCAGCACAAGCACUGAUCAUCAAUAUAAUAAUAUUAAGAAAAAGAGCACACAAAUAAGAUAAAGUAAUCAUAUGAAGUCUACUACUAUUAUUAUUAUUUCUUCAUCCACUCUUAGUGAAAAUGUCAAAAGAAUGACCUCCAGUGUUCUUCUUACUAGAUGUAUUGUCUCCCGCGUGUUCUUAUAUUGCAACAGUGCCUAUAAUUAUUGCAACAGUGCCCAAAAUUAUAGGCAAUAACUUUUCCAAAAGUAGUAUCUGCAUAAAGAAAGUGAAUCUUUUUUUCUCGAAAAUCAAAUCAUUACGAGUACACCAAAUUGCCCACGUUAAACCUGCGAACCCACUCACAUUCAGGUGUGUCAAUUUUCUUCAAUGGUUCCGAUUAGAUUUAUUAAUUGGUGGCCUGAUUAUAAUCGAUUUGCUCCCCGAUGCCCUCCUACUCCUAGUCAUGGAGUUCGACAGCUACUCCAUCGAGAUCAGCAACCUUGCAAGGCACCUGCUGGGAUUCAUGGCAACUGACCUUGGAGUCAGUUAAGAGGCGCUGCGAGGUAUCUUCUUUGGCGGCGGCGACCAAGACAAUGACGACACCAAGGGGCAGAUCGUAUCCAUGCACCACUACCCUCCGUGCUGGCAUCGGGACAAGGUGGUGGGCAUCACGCCGCACACCGACACCAUGGGCUGCCUGACCUGCAAAUCAAGAGGGGUGGCAGGUGGUUCCCGUGCAUCCGCUGCCGGGUGCCCUGGUCGUCAACGUCGGCGACGUCCUCACCAACGGCGCCUACGCCAGCGUCAAGCACAUGGUGGUCCUCGACGCCGAGAGGAGCCGCACCACCGUGGCGAUGUUCCACGACGCUUGUGUUGGAGGCCUGGUGACGCCGCUACCGGAGCUCCUCAGGGGAUGCGACACACGGCCACGCUAUAGGUACAUCAGGAAACUCGAGUACAGAAAUGGCAGCACUGGAGCACUGGCCCAAAGGAGACGGUAUGUGGACAGCUUUUUUAGGUACAUACGCACACAGCUGCACACAUCACACUCACACCGCACGAACACACAUACGUGCGUGUCCAUAUAUACACACACUAGAUGUGCGUGUCCAUACACACACUAGAGAAGAGAUUGGAGAGGUAACUGUCCUCGUUGCGUGGGAAAGCACAGUACUACUCAACACGCACGCUUGUGUCGAGAAAAAAAAUCCUGAAAAACUCGAAGGAAUUCGUCCCACUGCGAUCAAACCCACGACCUCGUUUGGAGGCUGGCGCUACUGAGGCCAGUUUGCAAGGUACGUGGACAUCCUGAUGAUAUAGCUAGAAAGCUAUCGAUGACUCUGAGUCCAAGAGCAAUUUCGGACAAAUGAAUGGUGUGCUUAUUCAAGUUCAGUGCAGUGCAUGGUAUACCUCCCAUUCCAAUAUCUCAAUCUAAUAAUAAAUAAUAACAUAAAUAUAAUAUAAAGUACGGAAGAAAUCCUUCACACCUUCUGCCAGCUUCUUUUUGGUACGUUGUUUUCUCCGUAUGCGAUGAGAAACUUUGAUUCUUGCCGGAGAAGUCGACCAAUAGAGUCCAUGUACUGCAUACAAGGACUCCAUGACCCUAGGACCCUAUUUGGUACAGCGUGUGGGUGGAAGCUCUUCUCGAACAAGCUGUAAAAAUAUGGAAACAACACUUCAAUGAGAAGCAGGUAUGAUCCAGCUUUUGCAUUUCAAUAUAAAUAGAAGUGAUGAGGGAGAAGUGCAGCCAGAGGAAGACACAGAAAACGCACUAUUUGCCUGCUAAUUUUAGCUUAUUUUGGCCAUAAGUAGGAUUUAAGCUGUUCGAAACAAGAUCUAGGUACAACACACAAGGAAAAAAAUUCAAAUAUGAGACGGGAAGAGAAAUCGGAUAAUUAAAAAUAAUCGAAUCUCAGCGCACAAUAGCCCUAUCGCCGGAGGAGGUAGAAGAACAUGUCCCGUAAAGACGCCGCUGGCAAAAGGCAUCACGAUAAGCGCAACGGUGCUAAUAAUGAACACAGAGACGAAAAGCGCCAGCAAAGAGGAUGGCCAUGAGCCCCGCUUGGGAACUGCUCCUGCGGCUACUCAUUUAUGCCCUUUGGCCGGUUCGCCGCGCGGCUAAGUUCGCGCUGACGUCCUUCGACAUUGCGUUCAUGCUAGUGACAUUUCAAAGAUCAAUGUCGAAAGCUGAAAGACCGUGUCACUCUUCUAGCGACCCCUGUGACCCGGCGCUGCAUGCCGCAUGCGGCAUGGAGCUCACGGCAGCAAUGCUCAAUGGGUAUGUCUCCCCGCCACCUUGCAGUUGAGUUGGGGAAAAAACUCAAGGGAUUUUGGAUCUAGAGUUUUAGAUUUCGAGAAAAAUUUAGGUUUGGCUUUGGAUUUGCGUCUCUAGUUUGGACGAGUGUCUCUAUCCCUCUAUUUAUCGAGGAGGCGGCCACAAUCAUAGGUUGGGUAGCACCCUAAGGAAGAUGUGAAUUGUGAAGUUUUGCGGCAUCAUGUAUUCAAUUUCAGGAGGUAACGGAGUGAGCAUGGGAGACAGCAAGAGACUGUGGGUGCGAGUUUUGUAUCGGCUGACGACACGGAUGUCUUAUAUUGGCAGAAGGAAGAAAGUAGGGAAGGGCGCUCGUCGCAUGAAGAUUUUGGGAAUUUUUUGAUUGCAGAGAAGGGUCACAAGUUUGGGGGAUAAAUCAAAUCAGACUUUUAAGCGGUGGGCUACACUUUUGUGUAUAUUUAAUAAUCGAGCAUUUAACCACUCAACUUAGGAAACUACGUCGACUUUACCGAACUAUGCAACUUAACAAAUUUUAGAUUUAGAAAUACACUCCUGGAGUUUGUGGAUUUUCUUGUAAGUUGACGGACCUCCGAUGCAUUAUAAAAAAAAAUUCUAGCACAAGUUCAUAUGGAUGAGUGUCGUGCUCGUAUGCAAACACAUACUUUAUUUUCAAAAAAUACUAGCAGGUCCUAACUAGUUGUCACAGUGUCCUUUGUUCCACCAACCGGUAACCAGUAUAUUCUGCAAGUAGAGAAUCAUAUAGGAUUAUGUAGAUUUACCUUUUUUUUUUCCUCAACCGAAGUAUUUACCAUGAAAACGAGAGGCUAGCUGCAUGCUUGAUUUUUGAAAUUGAGGUGGUUAGGUUUGGCCUAAUGAGCAUGCUUAUAAAAAUUUAAGCCCUCAAUGUAUCUCGUGCGGUGCCGUGCUGUGUCCACUUGGGAGGUACACAAGCAAAAUUAAACAAUGGAGGCUACUGCCGCGAAGCUCAUCGGCAGGGAAAAGAUCACGGGCGCCACCGCGGCCCUGUUCGCUGGUUCCGUCGAGGUCCCUGAGAGGUUCCUCCGAACCAAGGAGCUCCAGGCAGCCGGUGUGGUCGUCGGCGACGACGAGACGUUCAAGCUGCCGGUGGUAAACAUGGCAAAGCUUCUUGAUCCGGAGCUGUCGGCGUCGGAGACGGCAAAGCUUGGCUCCGCCUGCAGAGGCUGGGGUUUCUUUCAGGUCAGCCAGGGUGGUCCUGUCCAGAAUAUCAUCCUGUAUGAUGAAAUUUAUGUUCUCCUCACAUACCAAAUUCCUUUUAUUCUGUAGUUAACAAACCAUGGCGUCGACGAAGCAGCGACGCAGCUGAUGAAGGACAGCACUGCACAGUUUUUCAACCUGCCACUUGAGAGCAAGAACACCGUGGCAGUCCGAGAAGGCGGUUUCGAAGGAUUUGGCCACCACUACAACGGAUCCUCAAGCGAUAAGCUGGACUGGGCAGAGAACCUGUUCCUCUACACGCAGCCAGUCCAGGACAGGGACAUGGAGUUCUGGCCUGCUAACCCACCCACCCUCAGGUACGUCCAUUUUCUCCAUUGCACGACUCCAUUUCCAUCGGAUCAUAUACCUUCGAGGCCUGAUCGAGGCAUGAACGGCGGCUCAACCGAUUGCAUCGGCGGUGGCAGGCACGCGCUCGACAGGUACUCCGUGGAGAUGACGGACCUUGCAAGGCGCGUGCUGGGUUUCAUGGCGGCCGACCUCGGGGUCAGUCGGGACGCGCUCCUAGGCGCCUUCUUCAGCCGGGACGACCACGACGACGACACCCUGAAGCCCAAGAUGCAGAGCGUGGCGAUGCACCACUACCCUCCGUGCCACCACGUGGACAAGGUGCUGGGCAUCGCCCCGCACACCGACACGCUGGGCCUGACCUUCCUGCUGCACGCUGACGACACGCCGGGCCUGCAGAUCAAGAGGGGCGGCAGGUGGUUCCCCGUGCGGCCGCUACCGGGCGCCUUCGUCGUCAACGUCGGCGACAUCCUCGAUGUUCUCACCAACGGCGCCUACGGCAGCGUCGAGCACAGGGUGGUCCCGGACGCCGAGAGGGGUCGCACCACCGUGGCGACGUUCCACGACGCGUGUGUCCGAGGGCAGGUGGCGCCGCUGCCGGAGCUACUCGGGGUAGGAGGCGGAGAGGUGGCGGCACGCUACAGGUCCAUCGGGAAACUUGAGUUCAGGAAGGGCAGCGCCAGAGCCACUGCCCAAGGGACUCGGUUCCUGGACACCAUCAGGAUGUAAACAACCGCAGCUACUUUACUUGGAUUGUUGCCACUGUCCAAGCUGAAUUGGAACAGAGUUUGCCAAGAAUUGUAUCUGAUGGCCGAGAAGAAUGACCAACACAUGCUCAUCUACGAAUGAGUCUUCCCUUGGCCGAUAAGUUUUGUGGAAAACUAAGUUAAUCCACGAACGCCGGAGAACAGUGAAAAGUCGAUGCAGGAAUGCAGCAAGUGUCCUUGCGCUUUUUUUUUUUUUUUUUACAAAAGAACGCAAGCAGCGAACUGAUGCCAUUAGAAGAGUGGAACAUAUGCAGCGGUAUGGACUAUGGAAUAAUAGCAACAAGCUGUUCAAUAUGUCAUUAGCUUUCUGAAUCAAUACGUAGGUGACCUUUCCCGUAAUAACAUAUUAUAUCAAGUGUAACUAACGUUUUUUAAACAAAAUUAUUAUGUGGAUACUGCUUAGUUUUCUAGUACACUUUUAAAUUACACGCAACUCAACUUUAGUAAAAAAAUUACACACGCGCGUCACGAGCCAGCGGAAACAAAAGGCUUCACGACACUCGAGUGGGACAAAUUAAUCUAGAUAACUGUAGCCCCCUUGCAGGGCUUAUCGUGACAGGGCUUAUCCUGACCGUUGGUAGAGCUUCAGCUCCAGCUUCUCCUGACUCCUCUGGCUCCUUUGAUAGGGCUCCAGCUCAGACUUCUCCUGCAGCUCUAACUGAAGCCCUACCAAACACUUUGUAAAAAAACAGCUCCAUUUCUAGAACACCAAAUGAGCCAGAGCCAUUGCCAGAGCCAAAAACAAGUGCAGCCAAAAACAAGUGGCUCCUCUAGAUCCUCCCCAUUUUAGGAGCCGGAGCCGUACAGAAGGCAUAGUCAAAUCAACUAGCUAACUACUGAGCCGACUAUCACAACACCAAAUAAAUCCAAGAGAAUAUGAAUUAUGAAACUACGCAUCUUCUGUAUCUACGAAACCAUGGGUCGACUAAGCAGUAAUCCAGCAGACGAAGACACUAGCAUCGUGUGUAGUUUGUUCCUGCAGUCAUGAAAAUUUUGAAUAAUGGGCAUUGGCCAUACUGGUCUAGCUGUUAGUUAAGUGCAAUAUCCAUAUACUGAAAACAAUUCACUAUUUGUUACUUAGCAAAAUUCCAUUGAUAGAGCGUGUCAAAAAAAUACCAACUGCAAAGUUACCCAGGACCUGCAGAAAAUGUGUUCAUACCAACUCCUUGCAUGAACCAGCCACUGCUCCUUGGUCCUCAUGAAUCUCUUCAACAGGUAUUCAUGCAUCUGGAUCUGGGAGGGUCUACCAGCCAGCCCAAGUCAAUUUGUACAAAUUCUGGAGAACAUGCUACAAAAACAUUACCAAGUACAUGAUGAAGACACUCCAAUGGAACCACUGUCCCUCACAAAGCAACAGGCGAUGCGGUAACAAAUGCAGAACCACUCAUCGCCCGCAGUAAAGCUGAGUGAGGCAAUUCAUGUAGUCACCUUUGAACCAGGAGCCAGCACAGGUAGCUAGGCCUGCUGUGAAGGUGACAAUCAUGCAUAAACAAGCUGAGUUAAAUUGAAUUUAUCAUAAGCAAUGGCAGAAGAAUUACAUAAUCACAAUCAAGGAGUACAAACGGCGGAACAGGGCUAAACUUUUCACGUCCAAAGUUAUAUUGCUGUGCAAAUAUUGUCAACGUACAACAGGACUGAUAACAUUUACAUCAGUAUUCAAGCAGCAGGGGCUACAUCUACUGAAGCUGAGUGAUGAUUCACUUCACUGAGACUUGGCAACAGGCUCCAGCGCCUCGAUCAUGACAACACUAUUUCCCCUGAUAACCUGCAGAUGAACGCUGGUCAGCAUAUGAUGAUGUAUAUAACCAAUCCAAUCUGAAGUACAUGUUAAAAUUACUAACAACACUCAGCAAAAGGUAACCUACCACCAUUCCAAUAUCAGUCUUGUCAUUUCCAUUGACCUCAACAGUGUUAUCCACCACCAGAUUCAUGAACUGAUCAAAUCCUCGGAGUGUGCCAAUAACAACACGGUUUGCAUUCAGCUUGACUGGAGAAAUGAUCAAACAGGAAAAAAUUAGCCACUAAAUAUCUGUAUACCACUAUGAACAUCUUCUAGUCACCUAACAGUCAUUAACAAACAGAUUGAACUGCCCAGAAUACUUUAAACAAGUAUUGCUGGUUAAAAAAACUAAACUACAAAAUGAGCAGCAGGCAUAUCACACUUUGGUUGUGCUAGUUACUGUCACAUUUCACACUAUGCAGAAGAAUUGCUUCCUUCCAGUGGAUCGAAUUUGAUGCAAAAUUCAUAAAGCCAAAGUGGUUCUUACAAAAAAAACACUUGGAAAGUAAAGUAUGAUUUGUUUCUGGCCACCAGUUUGAUAGAGCUAUUCAGACCACGAACAGCAGCUAUCGGAUCCCUGAAAUAUAAAUUCAAAAAGGUUGAUAUGGCAGCCUAUCAGAGUAACUAUGACAAUAAAAAGCCUCAUUUGGAACUUAAUCCAUAGCUUUUUGAAAUAUCAUCAUCAUGUAGGGCAGCCAUCCAUCACAGAUCAACAAAAGAAACAAGUAUGAAAACUAAUGAGAAAACAUGACAGUAGACCUUAAUGUCUACUCACCACUCUCUAUCAUAAACAUGAAUACAGAGUACCAAAAGAAUUGCAACUAUCAGAAGACUGACCUCAAUACAGUAUACCAUUCUAAAGAUGAAAUGAAAAAGCGAGUAUUCAUGCCCUAUCAGAGUAACUAUGACAUUAAGCUUCAUCUGGAGAUAAAUCCAUAGCUUUGAUAUAAUGUUCAUCAUAUAGGGCAAAAUACGAAAUCACAAACGAAGCACAUAAAAGAUGCAUAAUCAUCAUGCAUGAUCAGCCUUGAAAACAAACUAGAAACACAAGAUUUUUAAUGAUGCAACUGCAACUCCUGGAGAAAUAAAAUAGAAUUUGGUUCAGCUAAGCUAACAAGGAGCAAAUAUCACAUCUUCCCCACUUGGUGGGGAGAUUAAGGGAUGUUUUGGAUAUCACAUUCCCCACUAUUGAAGUGCUGCUAGUGAGAAUGUGGUAUAGUUAGUCGAUUUACUCAAAAACUGGGUACCGCCUAAUCACCAAUCGCUAAGAUUAAACAUACUGGGCACGCACGUUCCGUCUUUAACAUCAAAGGAAACCUUAUUCACACAAGAAACUUCUCGGAGGCAAAACGACAGGGAAACUAUUGGGAUUUGUGAUUUGAAGUCGAGAGAUUCACUUACUCUGAAGCUUCUUGUCCAUGUACCUGCGACGCCACAAGAGACAAACCAAAAUCAGCAUAAAGGAGCGGAAUAGACCAAGAUCUAACUAUGAACAGAGUCAGAUGCUGCGAGCGCUUACUUCUUGAGAUCCGGAGGCUGCCCCGAUCGGCUCAUGGCGGCUACCUAGCCUCGAACGCGGGACGGGUGUAGGGAGCUCUGGGAGCUUCGCCCGGCCUUCUCCUCGAGACGAAACCCUAGCAGCAGCCGAGGACCCGAAGCGGAAGCGAGCAGUCCAGCUUUAAAAGGGGCGGGCGGGGAGGUCAGGGGAGGCAGCAGCCAGCCGCCGCCGCCUCCAACUCCAAAACCCUAACGCGAUCGAGACGUUGAGGCCUUCAGGCCGUAGGUUCGAGUAGUCAUGUGGGCCGUCAACGAGCUCCAGCUGCUGUUUGCAGGAGGCCCAUGAGCAGCUCGUCCCUGUGGGCUCCAAGAAUUGGAACGGCCCAAGAUCAGCAUCCGCCGGCCCAUCGCAUCCACCGCCGCUCUCGAUGUGAGGGAAAAAAACAGCCUACAUGAAUUAUCACCCCCAACAAACUACGUGUAUACAUUGAAUAUGUUACUGCAGACUGUUAGUGACGCUUUACACAUCGGUGUUCCAAGUGUUAUCUAACUACUAUCGCAUCAUCUUGAAAACAAAGAAAGCCGAGUGUUGUGCUGCUGUCGUCACCAUUCACCAGACUAUUGAAUCAGUUUCACAAAUUGUUGCAUUCUCCAACCGCUAGCACAUCAGCUUUUGCUUCCAGCACACAGGUCAUUGCAGUCUUCGUGAUAAUGGUUUGUAGGAUUGUCUCAUUAAUGUGUUUAUAUUCUGGCACCUUGUUUAGAACUAAACCAUAACUUUAAAUCUUUCUUACACUGAUGGAAAACCCACCUUUAGCUCCGGUUGGAUAGAGCUAUAGAUCCCGAAAAUCCAAUCGAGACUAAGUUUUCGAGACAAAAGAGGGACUUCUUUAGUUCCGGGUCAUUACCCCCUUUAGUCCCGGUUGGUAUUACCAACUGGGAUUAAAAGAAAAGGUGCCCUGCUCCGCUCCGCCGGGCCCACGCUAGGCUCGCCAGGCUCCCGCCGGCUGGCCACCCGUACAUGCCCCCGGCACACCGCUCGCCCUGUAAGAGGAGAGAAGAUAAGGGAUGAGAGAGGAGGAAAGAAGAUAAAGGAGGGGACAGCAGGAGAUAAGGUGGAAAGAGAGAGUGGGGGAGAUAAAGACUCCAUGAAAACAUUUAGUCUCGGUUGGAAUUAACAAUCAGGACUAAAGGAGAGCCUCUAGUUGGUUGUGUUUUCAACCGGGAUAAAAACUCCCCUCGUCCUACUAGCUGUUACAACCGGGACUAAAGGAGACUCUUUAGUCCCGGUUCCCGGUUGGUAAUUCCAACCGGGGAUUAAAGGGAGGGCCUUUAGUUCCGGUUGUAUUUUCAACCGGUUGAUAUUACUAACCGGGACUAAAGAACUCCUGUUGGUGGUCAUUGGUGGUGGAUUUUUGACCCGGAGCUAAAGGCAUUUUAAUCCCGAGUCUAAAGUCAACCGGAACAAAAGUUCCUGGACGGAAGAUCGUAUGCUUCACUUGAGUAUUAAUAAAAUCUUAAUGCGAGCCACGGGCCAAGCGCGCGGGACAAAUUAGCAUACGUGUUCGAUCAUGCGAGCCGCGCGGCAAACAAUUAACUAGUUCUUACUCUUAAACAAAAACCACAUUCUAUAAGCCUAUUAAUCCCACUCCCAUCCCUUUGACCAACAAAAUCGCGCCCAAUUAGCAGGUACUAACGCGGAGUGCAAUGGAGGCUGCUGCCGCCAAGCUCAUCAGCAGGGAUAGGAUCACGGACGCCGCCGCGACCUUGUUCAGCACCAACUCCGUCAAGCAGAUCCCUGAGAGGUUCAUCCGGACCGACGAGCUCCAGGCAGCCGGCGCGGUCGUCAGCGAUGGUGAGGCGUUCGAGCUGCCUGUGGUGGACAUGGCAAAGCUCCUGGAUCCGGAGUCGUCGGCGUCGGAGACGGCAAAGCUUGGCUCCGCGUGCAGAGACUGGGGUUUCUUUCAGGUCAGGAUCGAUCUCCGUUUUCCCUCGCAUAUUAUUGUGACAUAUCAAGGGAUCAAAAAUUCUCCGUGAAUUGCGUGAAACUUUGAUCUUUUUGUCAUAAUCGAAAUCACUGUUCAUCCUACUCACCGAAAGAUCUACCUUUUUAACUCAAAUUUCACCUAAAAUUUCGCGAUGGAAACCGAAAAAUGCCAAAAAAAACAAAAUUUAAAACCCUCAUAUGAGCUACUUAUGAGCUAUGAUACCUCCUUCCCCGUAGCUGACGAACCAUGGAGUUGACGAGGCGGUGAUACAGCGCAUGAAAGAAAGCGCUGCAGAGUUCUUCAGCUUGCCACUGGAAAGCAAGAACGCCAUAGCGUUUCAAGGGGGCGGCGACAAGUUCCAGGGGUUCGGCCACCAUUUCAGCGGUGGGUCAUCGGCUGGUAAGCUUGACUGGGCAGAGUGCGUGCUCCUCGUCACGCAGCCAGUCCAAGGCAGGAAAACGGAGCUGUGGCCUGCUAACCCGCCAUCAUUUAGGUCUGUGUGGCUGUGUGUUCAUGUCCAUUAUCAUGCAUCCUCGUUCCGACCAGUUUCCUUUUAUUCCAUUCAGUAAUUUUCUAGUCUAAUUAAUCUUCUGCUCCAUGAUGGAUUCCGCCAGAGGCACGCUUGACAAGUACUCCAUGGAGAUGACGGGUCUUGCAAGGCGGCUGCUCAGAUUCAUGGCGAUUGACCUUGGCGUCAGCCAAGAGGCCCUCCUUGACGCCUUCUUCAGUGGGGACGCCGAGAAGGGGCAGAGCAUGGCGAUGCACCACUACCCUCCGUGCCGCCACCCGGAGAAGGUGCUGGGCAUCCCACCGCACACCGACGGGCUGGGCCUGACGGUGCUGCUGCACGCCGACGACACGCCGGGCCUGCAGAUCAAGAGGGGCGGCAGGUGGUUCCCCGUGCGGCCGCUCCCGGGCGCCUUCGUCGUCAACGUCGGCGACAUCCUCAAUGUUCUCACCAACGGCGCGUACGCCAGCGUCGAGCACAGGGUGGUCCCGGACGCUGAGAGGGGCCGGACCACCGUCGUGGUGUUCCAGGAUGCUUCCGUUGAUGGGAUGGUGAAGCCGUUCCCGGAGCUCCUCGGGGGAGAUGAGGCGCAGGCACGCUAUAAUUCCAUCGGGAAGCUUGAGUACACCGAGGGCAACUUCAGAGCACUGGGCGAAGGCACACGGUUCCUAGAGAGCCUGAAGAAGUAGAAUGCUCGUUUCAAAAGAAGUAGAAUGCACGCACCAGCUACAUGUGCAUCCAAGAUCUCAACACCGAAGCAACUUCUCAAGAAAGAGCUGUGUACGUGCUCCUUUGUUGCUUGUGUCUCAAAUCAAGUUCUCAAAGUGAUCUCCAUUCCAGAAUACAAAAAUAAAAGCAUCCUUGUUUUGUAAAUUGUAAUGUGCAAUGUACCUUUGAUAUUCUUUAAGGCCUUAAGAUAAUUAUCAGUAUCUUUAAGGUUAAAAACCCAGGAUAUUGGGAUCAUUUAAGACGUUACUAAAAGCUGCUGAUCGGUGAACUGAUGGACUUCGUUCAACCCAUGGCAGCAUAUAUAGUCCAGGGAUCAGAGGCGGGAUGGAAGGAGGCAGCGGGCAUCCUAAAAUUUCAAUUUUGAUUGAUUAUGGCGCGUCCAUGAAAAUUUUUGAUCUCUCUUUGAGCGGGCUACUAAAUCUCCAUGGAGAAUUUGGAAGUGGCACGAGGAUUUCGGCUAUUUUGGUUGGUGCGGUUUCUUUCGUCUAGGCAUGUGAAAUUUCGUAGGGGAAGAGGCGAUGCGUGGAUGGUAGGUGCGGCAAGGGAGAGACAGGCCAGGUUAAGUGGGAGGGAACGAUCAGUGCACCGUGGGACAUGAAGCGCUUCCCUGGAGCACUGGAUGGAAGUAUGGAACGGAGUAACUCAGCCUAGCUAGCUCAUUUGUUCAACAAAUGAGAUUAACUUCUCAUUUGUCUCUGCGUUAGUCGCUUACGCGCAGAUCAACCGUGGACGGAGGGAGUAAAUUAAAGUAGCAUGAGAACUUAAUUAAUUAGCACAUGACUUUUCCUAUGUCUUUUUCUGAGUACACCCUCACUAGCGAGGUGCACCUAGUACACCUAUACAACUAGCUUGAAGAAGUAGCUCGUAGCAUCGUGACAUUAUGGCCUGGUUUGGUUCCAUUUGCUUAUUUUUAAGCAAGUGUCACAUCAAUAUUUAGAUACGAAUUGAGACUAUGAGCCACAUACUAUUGCUAGGUUCCUUUGCGUACUUGGAGGCUCUCGCGAGAGAGGGAGUACUCAGAAAUAGAUAUAGCAAAAGUCGUGUGUGAGUUAAUUCAGUUCUCAUGCUACUUAUAAUUGACUACUCGUCACGGGUGGAUCUGCGCGUGAGCGACGACGCAUAGGCNNNNNNNNNNNNNNNNNNNNNNNNNNNNNNNNNNNNNNNNNNNNNNNNNNNNNNNNNNNNNNNNNNNNNNNNNNNNNNNNNNNNNNNNNNNNNNNNNNNNNNNNNNNNNNNNNNNNNNNNNNNNNNNNNNNNNNNNNNNNNNNNNNNNNNNNNNNNNNNNNNNNNNNNNNNNNNNNNNNNNNNNNNNNNNNNNNNNNNNNNNNNNNNNNNNNNNNNNNNNNNNNNNNNNNNNNNNNNNNNNNNNNNNNNNNNNNNNNNNNNNNNNNNNNNNNNNNNNNNNNNNNNNNNNNNNNNNNNNNNNNNNNNNNNNNNNNNNNNNNNNNNNNNNNNNNNNNNNNNNNNNNNNNNNNNNNNNNNNNNNNNNNNNNNNNNNNNNNNNNNNNNNNNNNNNNNNNNNNNNNNNNNNNNNNNNNNNNNNNNNNNNNNNNNNNNNNNNNNNNNNNNNNNNNNNNNNNNNNNNNNNNNNNNNNNNNNNNNNNNNNNNNNNNNNNNNNNNNNNNNNNNNNNNNNNNNNNNNNNNNNNNNNNNNNNNNNNNNNNNNNNNNNNNNNNNNNNNNNNNNNNNNNNNNNNNNNNNNNNNNNNNNNNNNNNNNNNNNNNNNNNNNNNNNNNNNNNNNNNNNNNNNNNNNNNNNNNNNNNNNNNNNNNNNNNNNNNNNNNNNNNNNNNNNNNNNNNNNNNNNNNNNNNNNNNNNNNNNNNNNNNNNNNNNNNNNNNNNNNNNNNNNNNNNNNNNNNNNNNNNNNNNNNNNNNNNNNNNNNNNNNNNNNNNNNNNNNNNNNNNNNNNNNNNNNNNNNNNNNNNNNNNNNNNNNNNNNNNNNNNNNNNNNNNNNNNNNNNNNNNNNNNNNNNNNNNNNNNNNNNNNNNNNNNNNNNNNNNNNNNNNNNNNNNNNNNNNNNNNNNNNNNNNNNNNNNNNNNNNNNNNNNNNNNNNNNNNNNNNNNNNNNNNNNNNNNNNNNNNNNNNNNNNNNNNNNNNNNNNNNNNNNNNNNNNNNNNNNNNNNNNNNNNNNNNNNNNNNNNNNNNNNNNNNNNNNNNNNNNNNNNNNNNNNNNNNNNNNNNNNNNNNNNNNNNNNNNNNNNNNNNNNNNNNNNNNNNNNNNNNNNNNNNNNNNNNNNNNNNNNNNNNNNNNNNNNNNNNNNNNNNNNNNNNNNNNNNNNNNNNNNNNNNNNNNNNNNNNNNNNNNNNNNNNNNNNNNNNNNNNNNNAGAGGCUAAACGGCGAGACGAAUCUAUUAAGCCUAAUUAGUCCAUGAUUUGACAAUGUGUUGCUACAGUAAACAUUUGCUAAUGAUGGAUUAAUUAGGCUUAAUAGGUUCGUCUCGCUGUUUAGCCUCCACUUAUGUAAUGGGUUUUGUAAAUAGCCUACGUUUAACACUCCUAAUUAGUAUCUAAACAUUGAUGUGACACUUGCUUAAAAAUAAGCAAAGGGAACCAAACGCCCCCUAUAUAUGCUUGGAUAUGCUUGGCUUUUUAUUUAGUGCCAAAGAAACGUGCCGUUGGCACUAAAACCCUGU
rnacentral:lncRNA from 1 species